rnacentral:rRNA from 1 species
AUUGAACGCUGGCGGCAGGCCUAACACAUGCAAGUCGAGCGAGCGGCGGACGGGUGAGUAAUGUCUGGGAAACUGCCUGAUGGAGGGGGAUAACUACUGGAAACGGUAGCUAAUACCGCAUACCAUCAGAUUUGCCCAGAUGGGAUUAGCUAGUAGGUGGGGUAAUGGCUCACCUAGGCGACGAUCCCUAGCGGGUCUGGGGGGAUGACCAGCCAAACUGGAACUGAGACACGGCCCAGACCCAUACGGGAGGAAGCAGUGGGGAAUAUUGCACAAUGGGGGCAAGCCUGAUGCAGCAAUGCCGGGUGUAUGAAGAAGGCUUCGGGUUGUAAAGUACUUUCAGCGGGGAGGCGUUACCUGAAGAAGAAGCACCGGCUAACUCCGUGCCAGCAGCCGCGGUAAUAC